CUGAUGUCCUCCUUCCUUGAGACCCUCAUUCUCCGUGACAGCAGAAGCGCCAUCAGCCUGGGAGUGAGAUGCCUCUACGACAUCCCUGAGGGUCUCAUCCACACACCUCUCUGCCUCCUUGAGCUUUUCCAGAUGCAGGUGAGGCUGUGACAGUCUGGAAUCCGUGCCUGGAUGGACUGGAUGAGGGUAUGGCUGGGAGAGACUCCUGCCUGAAACAUUGGAGAGCUGCUGUCAGUCAGAGUAGACAAUACGAAACUAGAUGGAUUAAUG